GACGAACGCUGGCGGCGUGCCUAAUACAUGCAAGUCGAACGCUUCUUUCCUCCCGAGGGCUUGCACUCAAUUGGAAAGAGGAGUGGCGGACGGGUGAGUAACACGGGGGUGACCUACCCAUCAAAGGGGGAUAACACUUGCAAACAGGUGCUAAUACCGCAUAACAGUUGAUGCCGCAUGGCAUAAGAGUGAAAGGCGCUUUCGGGUGUCGUUGAUGGAUGGACCCGCGGAGCAUUAGCUAGUUGGUGAGGUAACGGCUCACCAAGGCCACCAAGCAUAGCCGACCUGAGAGGGUGAUCGGCCACACUGGGACUGAAACACCGCCCAGACUCCUACGGGAGGCAACCUUACGGAAUCUUCGGCAAUGGACGAAAGUCUGACCGAGCAACGCCGCAUGAGCGAAGAAGGUUUUCGGAUCGUAGAACUCUGUUGUUAGAGAACAACAAGGACGUUAGUAACUGAACGUCCCCUGACGGUAUCUAACCAGAAAGCCACGGCUAACUACGUGCCAGCAGCCGCGGGAAUACGUAGGUGGCAAGCGUUGUCCGGAUUUAUUGGGCGUAAAGCGAGCGCAUGCGGCUUCUUAAGUCUGAUGUGAAACCCCCCGGCUCAACCGGUGAGGGUCAUUGGACACUGGGACACUUGAGUGCAGAAGAGGACAGUGGAAUUCCAUGUGUAGCGGUGAAAUGCGUAGAUAUAUGGAGGAACACCAGUGGCGAAGGUGUCUCUCUGGUCUGUAACUGACGCUGAGGCUCGAAAGCGUGGGGAGCAAACAGGAUUAGAUACCUUGGUAGUCCACGCCGUAAACGAUGAGUGGUAAGUGUUGGAGGGUUUCCGCCAUUCAGUGAUGCAGCAAACGCAUUAAUCACUCCGCCUGGGGAGUACGACCGCAAGGUUGAAACUCAAAGGAAUUGACGGGGGCCCGCACAAGCGGUGGAGCAUGUGGUUUAAUUCGAAGCAACGCGAAGAACCUUACCAGGUCUUGACAUCCUUUGACCACUAUAGAGAUAGAGCUUUCCCUUCGGGGACAAAGUGACAGGUGGUGCAUGGUUGUCGUCAGCUCGUGUCGUGAGAUGUUGGGUUAAGUCCCGCAACGAGCGCAACCCUUAUUGUUAGUUGCCAUCAUUUAGUUGGGCACUCUAGCGAGACUGCCGGUGACAAACCGGAGGAAGGUGGGGAUGACGUCAAAUCAUCAUGCCCCUUAUGACCUGGGCUACACACGUGCUACAAUGGGAAGUACAACGAGUCGCUAGACCGCGAGGUCAUGCAAAUCUCUUAAAGCUUCUUUCAGUUUGGAUUGCAGGCUGCAACUUGCCUGCAUGAAGCCGGAAUCGCUAGUAAUCGCGGAUCAGCACGCCGCGGUGAAUACGUUCCCGGGCCUUGUACACACCGCCCGUCACACCACGAGAGUUUGUAACCCCCGAAGUCGGUGAGGUAACCUUUUUGGAGCCACCCCCCUAAGGUGGGAUAGAUGAUUGGGG
rnacentral:rRNA from 1 species